rnacentral:rRNA from 1 species
GACGUAGGGUGCCCGUGUUGUCCGGAUUUACUGGGCGUAAAGGGCGCGUAGGCGGUCUGUUAAGUGUGAAGUGAAAUCUCCAUCGCUCAACGAGGAAAUUGCUUCGCAUACUGGCAGACUGGAGGGAUGCAGAGGUGAAUAGAAUUCCUGGUGUACCUGUGACACGGAUUGAUAUCAUGAGGAAUACCCAAGGCGAAGGCAGUUCACUGGGCAUCAUCUGACGCUGAGGCGCGAAAGCGUGGGGAGCAAACAGG